CAGAGUUCAUGCCCUUACGGGUAGGUCUCCCACCCUAUGUUAUCAGUACCUUUGUUGCUUUGGCGGGCCGCCAGGCCUUGGUCAGGCUACCGGCUCCGGCUGGUAAGCGCCCGCCAGAGGAUCCCAAACUCUGAAUGUUAGUGUCGUCUGAGUACUAUAUAAUAGUUA
rnacentral:misc_RNA from 1 species